AACGAACGCUGGCGGCGUGCUUAACACAUGCAAGUCGAACGCGAAAGGGACUUCGGUCCCGAGUAGAGUGGCGCACGGGUGAGUAACGCGUAAGUAAUCUACCCCUGUAUCUGGAAUAACCCACCGAAAGGUGAGCUAAUACCGGAUACGUUUAUCUUGAUGCGAAUGAUGAUAAAGAAAGGUGGCCUCUUCAUGAAAGCUACCGUACAGGGACGAGCUUGCGUACCAUUAGCUGGUUGGUAGGGUAAUGGCCUACCAAGGCGACGAUGGUUAGCGGGUCUGAGAGGAUGAUCCGCCACACUGGAACUGAAACACGGACCAGACUCCUACGGAAGGCAGCAGUGAGGAAUAUUGGUCAAUGGGCGAGAGCCUGAACCAGCCAAGUCGCGUGAAGGAAGAAGGUUCUAUGGAUUGUAAA
rnacentral:rRNA from 1 species